GAGAAAGCUCACAAGAACUGCUAACUCAUG
rnacentral:piRNA from 1 species